UACAGAGGUCGCAAGCGUUGUUCGGAUUCAUUGGGCGUAAAGGGUGCGUAGGUGGCGCUGUAAGUCGGGUGUGAAAUUUCGGAGCUUAACUCCGAAACUGCAUUCGAUACUGCGGUGCUUGAGGACUGGAGAGGAGACUGGAAUUCAUGGUGUAGCAGUGAAAUGCGUAGAGAUCAUGAGGAAGACCAGUGGCGAAGGCGGGUCUCUGGACAGUUCCUGACACUGAGGCACGAAGGCCAGGGGAGCAAACGGG
rnacentral:rRNA from 1 species